GACGAACGCUGGCGGCGUGCUUAACACAUGCAAGUCGAACGGAAAGGCCCUGCUUUUGUGGGGUGCUCGAGUGGCGAACGGGUGAGUAACACGUGAGUAACCUGCCCUUGACUUUGGGAUAACUUCAGGAAACUGGGGCUAAUACCGGAUAGGAGCUCCUGCUGCAUGGUGGGGGUUGGAAAGUUUCGGCGGUUGGGGAUGGACUCGCGGCUUAUCAGCUUGUUGGUGGGGUAGUGGCUUACCAAGGCUUUGACGGGUAGCCGGCCUGAGAGGGUGAACGGCCACAUGGGGACUGAGAGACGGACCAGACGCCUACGGGAGGCAGCAGUGGGGAAUAUUGCACAAUGGGCGGAAGCCAGAUGCAGCAACGCCGCGUGCGGGAUGACGGCCUUCGGGUUGUAAACCGCUUUCGCCUGUGACGAAGCGUGAGUGACGGUAAUGGGUAAAGAAGCACCGGCUAACUACGUG
rnacentral:rRNA from 1 species